rnacentral:tRNA from 1 species
GUUUUAGUAGUUUAAACAAAACUUUGGUCUUGUAAAUCAAAAAUAAGAAAUAUGUCUUCUAAAACU